ACAAACUUGGUCAUUUAGAGGAAGUAAAAGUCGUAACAAGGUCUCCGUUGGUGAACCAGCGGAGGGAUCAUUAUCGAGUUUAUAACUCCCAAAACCCCCUGUGAACCUACCUCGUACCCUCGGCGGAUCACCGCGCCCCGUAACACGGGCGGGCCCGCCAGAGGACCCCCAAACCUCUGUAUUUACUGGUAUCUUCUGAGUGAACAAACAAACCAUUAAAACUUUCAACAACGGAUCUCUUGGCUCUGGCAUCGAUGAAGAACGCAGC
rnacentral:misc_RNA from 1 species